AAUUGUCUGUUCUGAUUUAUUGAUUUGCACCUAUUUUGAAUUCAGGGUUUUUGAAAUUGCAAUUUUUGGUUGCAGAUAUGGCCCCAUUGUACGAAACCCUAGCCUCGAGUUCCGUGCUGAAAUUAGAUAAGAAGAAGUCGAGCUUAUUCUGUAUCAAGUUUCAGAAUGUUACGUUUAUUUGGUAUUCCAAUCCUGAUCUAUAUCAAAUUCACUCUCUUUAUCUAAUUAAUUUAUAUACGUGUGUGUACGCAUUUAUCGGUGAUUAUGUAGAUGUGUGAGCCGUGCAGCAUUGAUAUAUGUCGCCUCUGGGGAUUAUUCAGUUAUUAUUAAUGAUUUUAUCUGAUGCUAUUAACAUUAAACAUUUAG
rnacentral:lncRNA from 1 species